CAUCGUAGCAGAGAGGCAGGACCAACUGGGAGAGGGUCAUUCUGUGACACCUACUGCAUCACCGGGCUGUGUGAAGUGACUCAGCUGCCAGAACUCACACAAUAUCAUUCUACACCAAAACCUCACGGGAAAAAUCACUAAAGUUUCAAUAUGGCACCUUAAUUCCUUAACGAAGAGAAAGAAUGUAUAUCUUGUGGUAAUGGGGACCAGCAGCUCCAUGAAUCAAAGCUUUCUGUGGCUCGAUCUAGUUCAGAGUCUGAGUGAUACAUUUAAUGUGCCAGCAAAAGCCUCUGGUAAACAGGGAGCAGUGUUACAGCCAGCAGAGCCCAAGAGCUUGCCAGAGCUGAUGGAGAUUGAAGGGAGCAGGUUGGAGCUCCUCCUGAGGCAGAAUGAGAGGAAGGCUCUCC
ensembl:lncRNA novel transcript